rnacentral:lncRNA from 1 species
AGCAUGGCGAUUCUAUCUCUAUUCUUCCAAGAAACGACAAAGCUCUUUCUUUCCCAUUCGACAUGUCUUCUACCCGAGCAUGGCGCGAGCUGUAGACUCGCGUUUCUAUCAAGAGAAAGACUUUCCAUAGCAACGGAUAAGUAGCUAGUGAUGGGUCGUUCUGCGAUGAAUUUACGUUUAGUUAGCCAAAAAAAAUGUGUCAAUGCACUAUUUUUCACGCAUGAACCUAUACAUAAACUCACGUAACUCAAAGUAACAACAAAACGUAUUCAUCGAACUUAUUUUUUAUCUGUGGAACUAAAAUGGUUCAUGUUUGUUUGUUUACAAAAAACGAUUAUGUUGUUGAUUUUACGUAUUUAAAUAUUGGUAAUUACUGCGUGCGGCAAGGAAAAACGUACGAAGUCCCAUCCAAUAAACAGAGAAGAUAGUAUCCCGAUCCAUUGGGAAAAGAAGGCCACGAUAAAGAAGAAUAGGUCCGUAUUCAAAAGCUGCUGAAAAGAUAUGGAAACAAACGAGUUCUUGGCAUACAAUGCUGACACGAGAAACAUUCUAUUAAUUACAAAAAAAGGAUGCUAAAUGACAACUGGGUUGUCAGUUUACAAAUUAUAAAUUAUUGAAAUGAUAUCAUUUAAUAAAGAAUGUGAAUAUUAAAAUCAUAA